AGAUUUCUCGUUCUCUCAUCCAGAUGCACUGGAUAAACCAUGAGGCUGCUCAUUCAAUAAAUCCACUGUUUCACAGUGUGGUCCUUUCAAGAUAGUGGAAUUUAAGUUCCCACACAGCCGUUUCAGUAUGUCAAGGGAUGAAGAAGGAACAUCACUGGAGCUAGGCGUUUUGGAAGAAAAGGGAAGAAAAGAGAUUGGAUGUGACACAGAGGGUAUCUUUCGCAUCUCCAUAGUAUUAGGAGUAAGGAAAGUGAAACAGCUACCAGUUGGGAAUCUUACAGGAGAAGCAGUAUUCUUGAGGGUAGGGAGUUUACUAAAAGC